rnacentral:rRNA from 1 species
CAGCAGCCGCGGUAAUACGUAGGUGGCAAGCGUUGUCCGGAAUUGUUGGGCGUAAAGGGCUCGCAGGCGGUUUCUUAAGUCUGAUGUGAAAGCCCCCGGCUCAACCGGGGAGGGUCAUUGGAAACUGGGAAACUUGAGUGCAGAAGAGGAGAGUGGAAUUCCACGUGUAGCGGUGAAAUGCGUAGAGAUGUGGAGGAACACCAGUGGCGAAGGCGACUCUCUGGUCUGUAACUGACGCUGAGGAGCGAAAGCGUGGGGAGCGAACAGGAUUAGAGACCCCUGUAGUCCCUGUCUCUUAUAC